rnacentral:rRNA from 1 species
GCAUAUCAAUAAGCGGAGGAAAAGAAAAUAACAAUGAUUCCCCUAGUAACUGCGAGUGAAGAGGGACAAGCUCAAAUUUUAAAUCUAUCGGGUUUUACCUGAUCGAGUUGUAAUUUGAAGAUGGCGUUUUCUGUGUUUCUGAUCAGUCCAAGUCCUUUGGGAUAAGGCAUCAUGGAGGGUGAGAAUCCCGUUCGGUUGAUCAGAUUCGCUUUACGAUACGUUAUCAAAGAGUCAAGUUGUUUGGGAUUGCAGCUUAAAAUGGGAGGUAAAUUUCUCCUAAGGCUAAAUAACGGCGAGAGACCGAUAGCGAACAAGUACCGUGAGGGAAAGACGAAAAGAACUUUGAAAAGAGAGUUAAACAGUACGUGAAAUUGUUGAAAGGGAAACGAUCGAAGCCAGUCGUACCGACGAGAAAUCAACUCUUCGAAUGGGUAAUUGCGGGCGCAUGAGAGCUUCACGGCCUCAUCGUUUGCAAAUGCAUUGUUCUUUGGGUGUACUUUUUCGUAUGGUUUGUCAACGUCGGUUUCGAUUGCUAUAAAAUGAUCGGAGGAAUGUAGCUUCGACUUCGGUUGAAGUGUUAUAGCCUUUGUUAGAUGUAACGGUUGGGAUCGAGGAUUGCAACGGAUGCUCGAAUGGGCUAUCCGCCUGAUCUCUGAUUCGACACUUUGGCGUUGAAAGCUUGCUUAUGAUGUUAAAGUGAUCGGUCAAAAGGUUAGAACGGAAUAAAUUCGUUAAGGAUGUUGACGUA